AGAGAGACACAUUGAUUGAUUGCCUCCUGUACUGGCCCCAACCAGGGCCAGGGAUUGAGCCUGCAGACACGGUACAUUCCCUUGAUCAGAAUUGAACCUGCGACCCUUCAUUCUGAGGGCAGACGCUCUAACCACUGAGCCAAACCAGCUAGGGUGGAUCCAGUUCUUUUGAUCAAGGCAUUUAAUGUCUCCUUCCUAUUUUUAUAUUUGUUUAUUGUUUUGUCUCCAGGGGAAAAGGUUGGAUGGCUGUGUAAAUGCCUAUGCCAUAAAUGUGUCUCAGAAGAAGAAGUACAGAGAUAGAGACGAGGACAGGGGGAGAGAUAGAGAAAGAGAAAGGUCAACUCGAGAGAGACACCUUGAUCGGCCAUAUCGCUCGCGCACCCCAACCAGGGACCGAACCCACAACUCAAGCAUACGCACUGAACGGGAAUCAAACCGGCGAUCCCACAGUACACGGGACUACACUCAUCCAACUGAGCCACACCGGCCGGGGCUAAAAUUAUAGAUUUAAAAAAGAUCUUUCCUGAAUUUCUCAUCUAGAUUGAUUAUGCAGUACACGAAUUGAAAAGGUGGAUUCAACAGACCUUUGGAUUUCAUUGGGUGAGAAAUGAAAUGUUGAAGAAUGAUUUUUUCCAUCAUCUUGAUCAGAAGAGUGGAUUUUGUAUUUUGUAUUUCAUAAGCAUCAAAACAGGACAGGAUGACAAUCCUUCCUCCUUGUAAAGUAAGAAAAUUUUACCUAUGAUGUGUGCAGUUCAUUUACCCUGCCUCAAAAGAAGAAAUGUUAAAUAUUACAUUUUUUUUUAUUUUAGGAAGUAUCAUUUGGGGCUAUCAUCAACCCUGUUUUUUUUGUCUUUAUUCCGUGGAAGCUGUAUGUUUUCUUCUUGGUGUCGUUAGGACUUUUUAAAACACCUAAAAAUAAUUUGGAUGUAAGCUUCUCAAAUAAAGCAAUAUUUCUACCCCUUUGUAA